rnacentral:rRNA from 1 species
CGAAAUAGAUUCGAGCUAAUUUUCCAUAUAUAUUAGUGUUUAAGUUUAUAUGUUGUAAAAUAUAGACAAAAUGGAUAUAUUAGGGGUGAUAGGCUUUUCAAGAACUAAGAUAUCUGGACACUAUAGAAAAGUAUUAAGUACUUUAAACAACUAUUGAGUGAUUAGGCUCUAUAGUAUUAUUAAAUUUUAAUUUGAAAAAUUAAUAGGUUUAACAAUCCUUUAACUAUUAUUAAAUAAUAUGUAUUAUAUUAAAAAUUGUAGAUAGUAUAAUAGUUCUUAUUAUAAUGUUUAAAUAAAGUAAUAAUGUUAAUAUUAGUAAUUUAGAAAAGGUAUUUAGAAAGAACUCGGCAAAUUAACUAUCCAACUGUUUAACAAAAACAUAACUAUAUGACUAACAUGUAUAGCUAUUUCUGCUCAAUGAUAAUUUAAAUAGCCGCAGUACUUUGACUGUGCAAAGGUAGCAUAAUCAAUUGACUUAUAAUUGAAGUCUAGUAUGAAUGAACACAUGGUUAGUGACUGUUUCCUAUAUAUUUUAUAAAAUUACUUAAUAAGUGAAAAUACUUAUUUAUAUAUAAUAGACGAGAAGACCCUAGAAAUUUUAAGAAAUAUUAUCAAUAUUAUUUUUGGUUUUUGUUGGGGCGACAGAGUAGCAUUAAACCUACUUUUAAAAUGUAUAAGUAUAUAUUUUUAUAAAGGAAUUCAAAUUACUCUAGGGAUAACAGCAUAAUAUUUAAAAGUUUGUGACCUCGAUGUUGGAUUAGGGAAGUAUUGCUUAGAAAGGCUACUACUAUUGCUCUGUU